UACGUAGGGGGCUAGCGUUGUCCGGAUUUAUUGGGCGUAAAGAGCGUGUAGGCGGCCAUGUAGGUCCGGUGUGAAAACUCGAGGCUUAACCUCGAGAUGUCAUCGGAAACCAUUUGGCUAGAGUCCGGAAGAGGAGAGUGGAAUUCCCGGUGUAGCGGUGAAAUGCGCAGAUAUCGGGAGGAACACCGGUGGCGAAGGCGGUUCUCUGGGCCUGACCUGACGCUGAGGAGCGAAAGCGUGGGGAGCGAACAGG
rnacentral:rRNA from 1 species